rnacentral:misc_RNA from 1 species
UCGAGGCAACCGUAGGGCCCAAGGCGGCAGAGCUAAAGCAGAAUGCCUUAAAAUGGAAGGCAGCUGCGGAGGCCGCUGUGGCUGAGGGUGGUUCCUCCUACAGGAAUAUAGAAAUUUUUGUGAAGGAGGUGAGGAGGAGAAGCGUUGAGAUGACUAGCAAGUCAAGCAACCUCAAUGGAAUUGUGGAAGAAAUAAGAGUUUAAGACGGUCUCUAGUCUAUUAUCUAUUUGGAUUUUUCUUUUUUAAAUUCGAUUCCCCGUGAAUCAAGAAUAAGAAUAAAUGAUGAAACUUAUUUAUUAAAUCUCAUAUAUUUACCUUAUUUCUUCCACAAUUCCAUUGAGGU